UCCCGCGCUCCCUUGUCUGAUGGGGAGGACGAGGAUCCAGUCAACCGUUGACGUGCCAUCUACGACCAAUCUCGGGAGCACGUGCUCGAUCCAACGUCCAGAAGGGGCCCAGGGGUGGUCGGUAUUCGGGGUGCCGUCCGCCCCUGGUUGUCGCAAGGACGCGCUGGCUCCGCUGCAUGCCGUGACUCGCCGGCGAGCCCCCGUGUCCCGGAGCUGCUGGACGGUCCUGACUCCGGCGACCUCGAUUCCGGCGAGGAGGACGGGGGCGGACGAGCGGCAGCAGGAGCGCACCUCGACCAGGGGGCAUAUGCAAAGUACAGGGUCCUCGACCACUGGCCACUGCACGGCCGUCUCUGCCCUUCCUCGUCGCCUGCCAAAUCCCGGAUGCUCAUUCUACUUUGCAAUGCAAGGUACACAUGCCAAUUCCUGAUGCAAUCGCCAGCGUACCAACCUACCAGGUGUUCGCUACUUUGCCUACAAGAGGGAGGCCAGGGGUGGGUGUUGAUCUCACCUUCAUGCAGUGUAUGGGCAGUGGAGUUUUUUGUGGACGGCAUCAAAUCCUUUUCAAGAUCAGUCAGCUACAGUUAAGAGCAGGGUUCUGAUCUGCACCCUUUGGUGCAUAUAGAAAUGUCGCAAUGCCAAGGUUUUCAGAAGUGAGGAUGCUACAAAGCUGAGGACAAGGAUUGGUUAUUAGAGUGGAGCAAUUUUUUCCCAUGUACCUUUUUUUCUUUCUUUAAGGUCCUUUUGCCUUCUGCUCUUGCUUCUUAUUUCCCUCAUGUACUCUCUCUGAUAAGGUUUUUCCUGAUUUUUAAGUGUUUGUAAAUUAUUAUUUUUUUACAAUAAAAGCUCAGGCAACCUUCAAUGGCUGCCGUUGUUUCUCUCAAAAA